rnacentral:lncRNA from 1 species
CUCUUUUGAUACUUUGGGAUAGAAUUUGUAUUAACAGAAGUUUUGAAGUCAUUCAGAAUGCCACAUGACCAACGUGGGGUCACCAAUUGGAACAGGGAAGAGAUGUGCACAAUGGCCCUCUCUCCAGCUUGUGUGAGCCGGCUCCAACACACAUCCUGUGGAGCGAGAGUUUGGUUGCUGGGAGGACCAGCUCACUGACAGAUUAAAGUUACCAAGUUGAAGUGAUGAGCUUGAAUCCUUCUGCAGUCACACGUUUGGCCUAGCAGAGGUUGAAAUUUUUAAAAAAUGAAAUAGAACCACAAAGAAAAUAUCAGAACACAUUGCACUUAGUAAAGAGAAGAAAAGCAACUCGGAGAUAAGAAACUCCACACCCUUUUGAGGAGAGAACUUGACAUCUGAAUUUUCAUGUUUGUGUUCUUUGAACAAACAUCAUUAAAGCAUACCAAAUCUACACCCAGUAAAAGUUUUGGAUGAAGACAGACAAAAAUGUGAAUGGACUACAAUGGAAGAUGCACAGACAUAUAUUAACCAGGGCUCAUGACGAUGUACCAACAGAGACUGAAAAGCCAUCUUCUUCAUGCUCUGGACGGCACUGUUAUACUGAAGUUCUAAAACCAAUCAACUAUGAUAAUAAAAGCUUCCUGAUUACUGCCUUUUAUGGAAGAAAAAUAUUAAGAAAAUGUACUGCCCCA